rnacentral:rRNA from 1 species
CAGUAGCCACGGGAAUACGAAGGGGGCUAGCGUUGCUCGGAAUGACUGGGCGUAAAGGGCGCGUAGGCGGCUGACACAGUCAGAUGUGAAAUUCCUGGGCUCAACCUGGGGACUGCAUUUGAGACGUGUUGGCUUGAGUGGAGAAGAGGGUCGUGGAAUUUCCAGUGUAGAGGUGAAAUUCGUAGAUAUUGGAAAGAACACCGGUGGCGAAGGCGGCGACCUGGUCUUUAACUGACGCUGAGGCGCGAAAACGUGGGGAGCAAACAGGAUUAGAUACCCCAGUAGUCCCUGUCUCUUAUAC